AUUGAACGCUGGCGGCAUGCCUUACACAUGCAAGUCGAACGGCAGCACGGGAGCAAUCCUGGUGGCGAGUGGCGAACGGGUGAGUAAUAUAUCGGAACGUGCCCAGUCGUGGGGGAUAACGCAGCGAAAGUUGUGCUAAUACCGCAUACGAUCUAUGGAUGAAAGCGGGGGAUCGCAAGACCUCGCGCGAUUGGAGCGGCCGAUAUCAGAUUAGGUUGUUGGUGAGGUAAAAGCUCACCAAGCCUGCGAUCUGUAGCUGGUCUGAGAGGACGACCAGCCACACUGGAACUGAGACACGGUCCAGACUCCUACGGGAGGCAGCAGUGGGGAAUUUUGGACAAUGGACGAAAGUCUGAUCCAGCAAUGCCGCGUGUAGGACGAAGGCCUUCGGGUUGUAAACUGCUUUUGUACAGAACGAAAAAGUCUUUAAUAACACUAGAGGCUCAUGACGGUACUGUAAGAAUAAGCACCGGCUAACUACGUG
rnacentral:rRNA from 1 species